rnacentral:rRNA from 1 species
GAUGAACGCUGGCGGCGUGCCUAAUACAUGCAAGUCGUACGGAAAGGCCCUUCGGGGUACUCGAGUGGCGGACGGCUGAGUAACGCGUGGGAACGUGCCCCCAAGUGAGGGAUAACGCACCGAAAGGUGUGCUAAUACCGCAUAUGGUCUUCGGAUUAAAGCUUCGGCGCUUUGGGAGCGGCCCGCGUACGAAUAGAUAGUUGGUGAGGUAAUGGCUCACCAAGUCGACGAUCGUUAGCUGGUCUGAGAGGACGAUCAGCCAGACUGGGACUGAGACACGGCCCAGACUCCUACGGGAGGCAGCAGUAAGGAAUCUUCCACAAUGGGGGCAACCCUGAUGGAGCAACGCCGCGUGCAGGAUGAAGGUUUUCGGAUCGUAAACUGCUUUUAUAAGUGAAGAAUAUGACGGUAACUUAUGAAUAAGGAUCGGCUAACUACGUGCCAGCCGCCGCCGUAA